CAAUUUGAAAAACAGCGCUCAACCUACGCUAGGGGACAAAUUUCGAUCCGCACAAUGAUCAAAGAUUCCAAGAACUGCGAUCUAUCACGCACGGGCCCGCGCGGGCUAAAGUGUGUGCGCAUCAAAGAAUAAUGGAAUAAAAGAAUUUUCCAAGUAAAAGUUGGACAGAACGAAACGGGAAGCAAACAAGAGUAAAGAGAUGAAAUUGUCGCAGAACAUUCAGUCAGUCCUUCGCGAGAGCCUCAAGCGAGAGGUCGUAUUGGGAGUACAGUGGCAAGAUAGGUUCAAAAUUAAUAAUAAGAAUUAGUAAUACGCACAAAGUUGGAUGUGUCGAUUAGAAACACAUCUUUUGUUUGCGAUUGCGAUUAAAAUUGAUGAGCCAAGCAGAUAAAGAAUGAAUAUUAGGCAAAACAGCAAAGUAGCCGUAUUGUGUAUAGAAAUGGUGUAAAAUGAGAUUUUACACCUACAAGAUCUUGUCCCGAUUACUGUUCUGCAGAAUGGCGUCCGCUACCAAGCUGGGUUUGUUUGUUGAAGUCAAAUCCACCAAAUCUCACAGAAGUGCCUGGAGUGCCAGAUUCUUACGCACAACCUGUUCAUUGAUUUAAAGAUAACCUACGACACCAUCGAUCAGGAAUAAGCUAUGGAGCAUCAUGCAGCGAAAUCAUUUUGCUGGGAAGUUGAUUCGGCAGUUACCGGCCGUCAUGAAUAAGGUGCAGUACAAAGUGAGAGUAUCGAACAUACGGUCAGGGUCGUUAUAAAUGCGUAGGGAUUUGAGCAAAGAUGGUAGACUAUCCUGUAAUUUCUUUAACAUCGCCUUGGAAGGUGCCAUACGAAACGACAUCCUUGGCAAAAUCGUCCAUCAAGUUCUACAAUUUAUUGGCUUGGCGAAAGGGUUCGGGUACAUCGAUACCAUCAGCAAGGCGACGGCGAAGGUGUAUGAAGCGUACAUCUGACUCAAACGGGAAGCAGCAAGAUUUGGACUGAGAAUCAAUGCGAUGAAGACGAAGUACCUGCUUGCUGGAGGCUCGGAUCGUGAUAGGGCCCAACUGGGAAGUAGCGCAGUAAUUGACUGUGACAUCUUCGAAGUGGUAGAAGUGUUCUGCUGUCUUGGAACGUUCGUUACAUAGGAUAAGGAUAUCAGCAUCGAAAUCCGUAGAGUCAUAGUGCAGCGUAGUUGUGUAUACUAUGGGCUUGACUAUCUACUGAGAUCCAGAAGACAUCGAGACCGCACGAAAUGAGAGAUAUAUCGCACAUUGAUUUGCCCGCAUCUUUCAGACCGUUGCUGGUCUGUGUAUUCGAGCAUGGAGUAUGGAGGCGAAGGAUUAACCACGAGCUUGCUGAACUGUAACACAAACGUUGGCUGAUUGUGGUGAAGCAAAGCGUACCGGUGAUUUGGUACUUACAUCGAUGGAAAGGUAAAGCCGGGGACUGAGAAUCCUGAUGAAUUAUUAUUUACCAGAACACGUUCGCAAUACUCUUUCUGCUGACUGAAUUAAUAUCCGUCGCUGGUUUUCCAGUAAAGCUUUCCGCUGCUAACUGUUCGUGCUUGUGCAUUCCCCGUAUCCGAAAAUGACCAGUAGGCAUUUGGGCAGCCCUCGGCGUCAACGGUUCCAUGGUGUAACGGUUAGCACUCAGGACUUUGAAUCCUGCGAUCCGAGUUCAAAUCUCGGUGGAACCUCUUUUUUCGCACUUUCGAUUCAAAGUUUCUACCAAAUAAAAGUUCACACCCUCCUCCACAAUGUGGUGUGAGCUUUUUAAAAAUCUGCUGUAAAAAAGCAGCAACAACAAAAAGAAGGCUUCACGCGAGGGGGCACCCGGGUUUGAACCGGGGACCUCUCGAUCUGCAGUCGAAUGCUCUACCACUGAGCUAUACCCCCACUUGAGAGAGGGUGUGUUAGAUGCCUAUAAAAACACGCACACGCCUACAUGUGCCAGAGCGGUACGACCAAGCUUUCAGCUGCGACAGCAAGUCGGGCAAUGUGUAGCAUUAAUAUGUCAGAAAACAAGCAUAGGGCUACUACUCUACUUUUUUAUAUUAUUGGCAUUGUUCUGUCUAUGCAAAACACUAACAGAACCAUGAUGAAUUACUUUGAAUGUUUAAAAUCCAGUUGGUUUCCAUGUGCUCCGUGGUUCACAGCACUAUAUGUACACCGGGGAAAAAAGUAGGAGGAGCUUACGCUGUUGCAUUGGAAACGAAAUAAAAUACAAUCGCAAUAUGGAUGAAAAGAAUUUUCCAGGAUAGAUGAAAAA